GGCUUAGAGUUUGAUCCUGGCUCAGAACGAACGCUGGCGGCGGGGUUUAGGCAUGCAAGUCGCACGAGAAAGGAGCAAUCCGAGUACAGUGGCGUAAGGGUGAGUAAUGGUUCGUCAACGUACCGAGCAGACGUGAAUAAUUUCCCGAAAGGGAUUGUAAUGCACGAUGAGACCACGGGCUGUACGCAGCUAGGGGUCAAAGGUCGGGGAUCCUUCGGGACCCGGCGCUGUUUGAGCGGACGAACUCUGAUUAGCUAGUUGGCGGGGUAACGGCCCACCAAGGCGAUGAUCAGUAGCCGGGCUGAGAGGCUGUCCGGCCACACGGGCACUGAGAUACUGGCCCGACUCCUACGGGAGGCUGCAGUCGCGAAUUUUUCACAAUGGGCGCAAGCCUGAUGAAGCCACGCCGCGUGCGGGAUGAAGGCCCUCUGGGUUGUAAACCGCUGUCGAGGGAGGGGAACCGCUGAACGUG
rnacentral:rRNA from 1 species